UACUCUCUUGGCAACUUUCCUCGAUGU
rnacentral:piRNA from 2 species